ACCUGAAUGGUUCAGUUGGUUGGGUGUCUGACUUCAGCUCAGAUCAUGAUCUCACGAUUCGUGGGUUUAAGCCCCGCGUCAGGCU
rnacentral:tRNA from 1 species